rnacentral:rRNA from 1 species
AUUGAACGCUGGCGGCAUGCCUAACACAUGCAAGUCGAACGGUAACAGCGAGAGCUUGCUCUCGGCUGACGAGUGGCGGACGGGUGAGUAACGCGUAGGGAUCUGCCUUGCAGCGGGGGACAACCUUAGGAAACUGGGGCUAAUACCGCAUAUACUCUUUUGAGGAAAGGUGGCUUUCGGGCUAUCGCUGCAAGAUGAACCUGCGUUAGAUUAGCUAGUUGGUGAGGUAAAGGCUCACCAAGGCGACGAUCUAUAGCUGGUCUGAGAGGAUGAGCAGCCACACUGGGACUGAGACACGGCCCAGACUCCUACGGGAGGCAGCAGUGGGGAAUAUUGGACAAUGGGGGCAACCCUGAUCCAGCAAUGCCGCGUGUGUGAAGAAGGCCUGCGGGUUUGUAAAAGCACUUUCGUUGGGGAGGAUGGUGCGCAGUUCAAAUAGGGCUGCGUAUUGACGUUA